rnacentral:rRNA from 1 species
GCUACGGGUGGCAGCAGUGAGGAAUAUUGGUCAAUGGACGCAAGUCUGAACCAGCCAAGUAGCGUGCAGGAUGACGGCCCUCCGGGUUGUAAACUGCUUUUAGUUGGGAAUAAAAGGGGGCUCGUGAGCCCCGUAUUGUAUGUACCAUCAGAAAAAGGACCGGCUAAUUCCGUGCCAGCAGCCGCGGUAAUACGGAAGGUCCGGGCGUUAUCCGGAUUUAUUGGGUUUAAAGGGAGCGUAGGCCGGCUUUUAAGUCAGCUGUGAAAGUCCGCGGCUCAACCGUGGAAUUGCAGUUGAAACUGGAGGCCUUGAGUGCACACAGGGAUGCCGGAAUUCAUGGUGUAGCGGUGAAAUGCUUAGAUAUCACGAAGAACUCCGAUUGCGAAGGCAGCCUACUAAACUGCCACUGACAUUGAUGCUCGAAAGCGUGGGGAGCAAACAGGAUUAGAUACCCCAGUAGUC